AGGCUGGUCUCUAACUCCUCACCUCAGGUGAUCCACCCACCUCAGCAUCCCAAAGUGCUGGGAUUACAGGUGUGAGCUACCAUGCCUGGUCCAACAUUCUUCAUUUGGUAAAUGGCUAAACUUAGUGCAGAGUAUGAGCCUGAUUUUGUUUAAAAAAAAAAUGUGUGUGGGUGUGUAUAUGUAUCUUUGAGUGUAUAUAAAAAGACUGAAAGAGGGCUGGGCACGGUGGCUCAUGCCUGUAAUCCCAGCACUUUGGGAGGCUGAGGGAGGCGGAUCACUUAAGUCAGGAGUUUGAGACCAGACUGGGUGAAACCCCAUCUCUACUAAAAAAUGCAAAAAUUAGCUGGGCAUGGUGGCGGGCACCUGUAAUCCCAGCAACCAGGGAGGCUGAGGCAGGAGAAUCACUUGAACCCAGGAGGUGGAGGUUGCAGUGACCCGAGAUGCAGUGAGACUCCACCUCAAAAAAAAAAAAAAAAAAAAAAAAAAAGACUAAGGAUAUAUAUCAAAACCCUUAUGGCAGACUGUUAUUUGUAAUUGUAUUUUAUUUGUCGUGCUUAUAUGUGUUGCCCAAGUUUCUAUGGUGAACGGUAUGCAUCACUUUCAGCAUGAGAAAAUAACUCCUAAUAAACGUGAUUCUUAAAGGACUCUCCCUGUGUACAUCCUUUCCAAGGAGCCCCGAUGUACCCUGCUUCCCUCACAGCCAAGCUCCUCUAGGACAGUCCUCCCUAGGGGGUUACGGCCUUGCUCCUUU
rnacentral:lncRNA from 1 species